UUUUCCGUAGGUGAACCUGCGGAGGGAUCAUUACACAAAUAUGAACCCGGGCGGAAACCUCUCGGGGUUACAGCCUUGCUGAAUUAUUCACCCUUGUCUUUUGCGUACUUCUUGUUUCCUUGGUGGGUUCGCCCACCACUAGGACAAACAUAAACCUUUUGUAAUUGCAAUCAGCGUCAGUAACAAAUUAAUAAUUACAACUUUCAACAACGGAUCUCUUGGUUCUGGCAUCGAUGAAGAACGCAGCGAAAUGCGAUAAGUAGUGUGAAUUGCAGAAUUCAGUGAAUCAUCGAAUCUUUGAACGCACAUUGCGCCCUUUGGUAUUCCAAAGGGCAUGCCUGUUCGAGCGUCAUUUGUACCCUCAAGCUUUGCUUGGUGUUGGGCGUCUUGUCUCUAGCUUUGCUGGAGACUCGCCUUAAAGUAAUUGGCAGCCGGCCUACUGGUUUCGGAGCGCAGCACAAGUCGCACUCUCUAUCAGCAAAGGUCUAGCAUCCAUUAAGCCUUUUUGUCAACUUUUGACCUCGAUCAGGUAGCAAGACAACCUGAACAUAACCAUAUCAAUAAGCGGAGGAA
rnacentral:rRNA from 1 species